rnacentral:rRNA from 1 species
GAACGCGAAAGGGGGCGCAACCCCCGAGAGAGUGGCGGACGGUGAGUAAUACAUCGGAACGUGCCCCGUAGUGGGGGACAACCUCGAGAAAUCGAGGCUAAUACCGCAUACGACUACGGGUGAAAGCGGGGGACCGCAAGGCCUCGCGCUAUUGGAGCGGCCGAUGUCCGAUUAGCUAGUUGGUGGGGUAAAAGCCCACCAAGGCAACGAUCGGUAGCUGGUCUGAGAGGACGACCAGCCACACUGGGAUUGAGACACGGCCCAGACUCCUACGGGAGGCAGCAGUGGGGAAUUUUGGACAAUGGGGGCAACCCUGAUCCAGCCAUGCCGCGUGCGGGAAGAAGGCCUUCGGGUUGUAAACCGCUUUCGGCCGGAACGAAAUCGCCGGGGAGAACAUCCCCGGCGGAUGACGGUACCGGAAGAAGAAGCACCGGCUAACUACGUGCCAGCAGCCGCGGUAAUACGUAGGGUGCAAGCGUUAAUCGGAAUUACUGGGCGUAAAGCGUGCGCAGGUGGUUCGCUAAGACAGAUGUGAAAGCCCCGGGCUCAACCUGGGAACUGCGUUUGUGACUGGCGGGCUAGAGUGCGGAAGAGGGAGGUGGAAUUCCACGUGUAGCAGUGAAAUGCGUAGAGAUGUGGAGGAACACCGAUGGCGAAGGCAGCCUCCUGGUCUAGCACUGACGCUCAUGCACGAAAGCGUGGGGAGCAAACAGGAUUAGAUACCCUGGUAGUCCA